rnacentral:rRNA from 1 species
UACAGAGGUCUCAAGCGUUGUUCGGAUUCAUUGGGCGUAAAGGGUGCGUAGGCGGCGCGGUAAGUCGGGUGUGAAAUCUCGGGGCUUAACUCCGAAAACUGCAUUCGAUACUGCCCGUGCUUUGAGGGACUGGGAGAGGAGACUGGAAUUUACGGUGUAGCGGUGAAAAUGCGUAGAUAUCGUAAGGAAGACCAGUGGCGAAAGGCG